AUUGAACGCUGGCGGCAGGCUUAACACAUGCAAGUCGAGCGGAGAGAGGUAGCUUGCUACUGAUCUUAGCGGCGGACGGGUGAGUAAUGCUUAGGAAUCUGCCUAUUAGUGGGGGACAACAUUUCGAAAGGAAUGCUAAUACCGCAUACGUCCUACGGGAGAAAGCAGGGGAUCUUCGGACCUUGCGCUAAUAGAUGAGCCUAAGUCGGAUUAGCUAGUUGGUGGGGUAAAGGCCUACCAAGGCGACGAUCUGUAGCGGGUCUGAGAGGAUGAUCCGCCACACUGGGACUGAGACACGGCCCAGACUCCUACGGGAGGCAGCAGUGGGGAAUAUUGGACAAUGGGCGCAAGCCUGAUCCAGCCAUGCCGCGUGUGUGAAGAAGGCCUUAUGGUUGUAAAGCACUUUAAGCGAGGAGGAGGCUACUGUAGAUAAUACCUAGAGAUAGUGGACGUUACUCGCAGAAUAAGCACCGGCUAACUCUGUGCCAGCCGCCGCCGUAAGAC
rnacentral:rRNA from 1 species